GGGGAUAUGGCGAAAUUGGUAGACGCACUAGAUUUAGGUUCUAGCGUUGCAAGACGUGUCAGUUCGAGUCUGACUAUCCCCACCA
rnacentral:tRNA from 1 species